AUGAGAAAACAGAAGAGUCGUGAGAGGCCAGGUCACUUGCCCAAGUUCACACAGUCACACAACUGGCACAAAGUACUGCUUUGAAGCCAAAUUGACCGACUGCAGAGCCCAUUCUCUUAACCCUUUCUAUAACAAGAGUACCUGUAUCUGUUUGCCUGGCAUAUUGUAGGCACUCAAUAAACAUUAGUUUAUUUAUGGAAUUACAUGAAUUCUUGUUGGGAAUGCUUGCCAUUACAGAUCCCAUCUUUUUAAAAAAUUGGGAUAACUAUUACAUUAAAAUGAAAAGUUCAAGCCAGAAUUGGGAAGUAGAGCAGAAAUAAGAGCCGCAGAAACUUUCACAAUAAGAGCGUCAGCUUUUUCACAGCCCACAAGUCAUUUCAAGCCAUUUUCCAAGCAUGCCUCUCUCAUGCCUCUGUGAUGUUUCUAGGGACAUUUAGUGCUUGAAGUAUCUUAUAUUAUUCGAUGAGUGCAAUUCACGUUUAUCUUUCAAAAGUUCCUGCUUAAUAGCCUCUGAUAUGAAGUUUGUAUACUUCCUCUUCAGUUAUCAAGGACUCCGUUCUCCCUCUCCAAGCUGACAAGAAAACUACACCAGGAGAAUUUGGGAUUAAAGACUGAAUUCACAUUCUUUCUAACCAGUGGCCUUUUUUGGACUGUUAAAUCCUUGAUGCCAAAAGCUUCUGAUUGUGAAGCUAAUGAACCAAUGCCUAGUGUGAUUACCUCCAACUGCUAAAUGUAAUCCAAAGAACAUGCCUGAUUGCAAACAAUCUUGCCAAGCAUAGACAAAGGAAGACCAUUCAUUAAAACUACUUGUUUUCGAGCAGAUUCCAGCCCAGAUUUUAUUCAGCUGCCUAAUCAAGGAAGACUGCUUUCACUUUCUGCAAACUAGGCAGUAAAAGCCACAGAGGCCAAUGGCCUCCUGUAGAUUUUUCUAGGAGUUGGCAAACUAUGGCCCAUCAGCCACAUCUGACCUGCUUUCCUGUUUUGUAAAGCCCAUGAGCUAAGAAUAUUUUGUACAUUUUUAGAUGGUUGGGGAAAAAUCAAAAGAAGAUUACUAUUUUGUUAUGCCUGAGAAUGAAAUAAAAUUCACAUUUCAGUGUCCAUAAGUAAAGUUUUAUUGGAACACAGCCAUGCUCAUUCAUUUAUGGUAUAUAUGACUGUUUACAUGCAACAAUGGCAGCACAGUUGUGACAGAGACCAUAUGGCAUGCAAAGCAUAAAACACUUACUCUCUGAUCCUUACAGAGAAUAUUUGCCACUUCUGUACUGAAAAAAUCUUAAGUAUGAGUUUAGAAAAGCUUGGGUUGUCUACCAUGCUACCACUCACUUGGAGGCAGGACUGCAUUCAGUGAAAUCAGCUCAAACAGACCUGCAAGUAGGGAUAGAGUAAAGAGCAGAGAAACUGCCAUCAGAGAGCCCUAAACUGGAGUCUUAGUUCCUUCAUUGUAUAGUAGUAUGACUUUAGGCAAAAUUCUAAAUAUCUCUGAUUCUUAGUUUUCUCUAGUGUAAAAUGGGAU
rnacentral:lncRNA from 10 species